rnacentral:rRNA from 1 species
CCAGACUCCUACGGGAGGCAGCAGUGGGGGAUAUUGCACAAUGGGGGGAACCCUGAUGCAGCGACGCCGCGUGAAGGAAGAAGUAUCUCGGUAUGUAAACUUCUAUCAGCAGGGAAGAAAAUGACGGUACCUGACUAAGAAGCCCCGGCUAACUACGUGCCAGCAGCCGCGGUAAUACGUAGGGGGCAAGCGUUAUCCGGAUUUACUGGGUGUAAAGGGAGCGUAGGCGGCAGUGCAAGUCAGAAGUGAAAGCCCGGGGCUCAACCACGGGACUGCUUUGGAAACUGUGUUGCUGGAGUGCAGGAGGGGUAAGCGGAAUUCCUAGUGUAGCGGUGAAAUGCGUAGAUAUUAGGAGGAACACCGGUGGGGAAGGCGGCUUACUGGACUGUAACUGACGUUGAGGCUCGAAGGCGUGGGGAGCAAACAGGAUUAGAUACCCCUGUAA